AAGCGUACUCGGAAUCACUGGGCGUAAAGGUGCGUAGGCUGGCUUCUAAGUCAGAUGUGAAAUCCAAUGGCUCAACCAUUGAACUGCAUUUGAAACUGGGAGCCUAGAGUUCAGAAGGGGCAGAUGGAAUUAGUGGUGUAGGGGUAAAAUCCGUAGAUAUCACUAGGAAUAUCAAAAGCGAAGGCGAUCUGCUGGGAUGAUACUGACGCUGAGGCAUGAAAGCGUGGGGAGCAAACAGGAUUAGAUACCCUGGUAGUCCACGCCCUAAACGAUGAAUGCUAGUCGUCGGGGAGCUCGUCUCUUCGGUGAUGCACUUAACAGAUUAAGCAUUCCGCCUGGGGAGUACGGUCGCAAGAUUAAAACUCAAAGGAAUAGACGGGGACCCGCACAAGUGGUGGAGCAUGUGGUUUAAUUCGAAGAUACACGAAGAACCUUACCUGGCCUUGACAUGGUAGGAACCCUUAAGAGAUUAGGGGGUGCUAGCUUGCUAGAACCUACACACAGGUGCUGCACGGCUGUCGUCAGCUCGUGUCGUGAGAUGUUGGGUUAAGUCCCGCAACGAGCGCAACCCUCGUCCUUAGUUGCUAACAGUUUGGCUGAGCACUCUAAGGAGACUGCCUUCGUAAGGAGGAGGAAGGUGAGGACGACGUCAAGUCAUCAUGGCCCUUACGGCCAGGGCUACACACGUGCUACAAUGGGGCGUACAGAGAGCUGCAAUACCGCGAGGUGGAGCCAAUCUCUUAAAGCGUCUCUCAGUUCGGAUUGUUCUCUGCAACUCGAGAACAUGAAGCUGGAAUCACUAGUAAUCGCAGAUCAGCUAUGCUGCGGUGAAUACGUUCCCGGGUCUUGUACUCACCGCCCGUCACACCAUGGGAGUUGAUUUCACCCGAAAUCGGGAUGCCAAACGGCUACCGCUUAC
rnacentral:rRNA from 1 species